rnacentral:rRNA from 1 species
UUCCGCAAUGGACGAAAGUCUGACGGAGCAACGCCGCGUGAGUGAUGAAGGUUUUCGGAUCGUAAAGCUCUGUUGUUAGGGAAGAACAAGUGCAAGAGUAACUGCUUGCACCUUGACGGUACCUAACCAGAAAGCCACGGCUAACUACGUGCCAGCAGCCGCGGUAAUACGUAGGUGGCAAGCGUUGUCCGGAAUUAUUGGGCGUAAAGGGCUCGCAGGCGGUUUCUUAAGUCUGAUGUGAAAGCCCCCGGCUCAACCGGGGAGGGUCAUUGGAAACUGGGAAACUUGAGUGCAGAAGAGGAGAGUGGAAUUCCACGUGUAGCGGUGAAAUGCGUAGAGAUGUGGAGGAACACCAGUGGCGAAGGCGACUCUCUGGUCUGUAACUGACGCUGAGGAGCGAAAGCGUGGGGAGCGAACAGGAUUAGAUACCCUGGUAGUCCACGCCGUAAACGAUGAGUGCUAAGUGUUAGGGGGUUUCCGCCCCUUAGUGCUGCAGCUAA